UCAACAGAUCAUAAUACCAUAAGGUGGGUA
rnacentral:sRNA from 1 species